AGAGACAGCCGGACGGUUGCGUGGGCGCAAGCCUACGAGGAAAGUCCGAGCACCACAGAGCAAGAGUGCAGGCUAACGGCCUGUGAAGGCGACUUCAAGGAAAGUGCAACAGAAAUAUACCGCAACGCUUGCGUUGUAAGGGUGGAAAUGCGGGGUAAGAGCCCACACACGUUUUGGUGACAAUGCGUGCAUGUAAACCCCACUCGGUGCAAGAAAUGAGAACAAAUGCCUGCUCGGCAUCUCGACAUACUCGCUGGAGACUGUCGGUAACGACAGCCGUAGAAAGAUAACCGUCUAAUACAGAACUCGGCUUACAGACUGAACUCUUACA
rnacentral:RNase_P_RNA from 1 species